rnacentral:rRNA from 1 species
GACAGAGGUGGCGAGCGUUGUUCGGAUUUAUUGGGUGUAAAGGGUCCGUAGGCGGCCGCGCAAGUCUGGUGUGAAAGCCCACAGCUCAACUGUGGAAUGGCAUUGGAAACUGCGCGGCUUGAGUUUCGGAGAGGUGAGGGGAAUUCUCGGUGUAAGGGUGAAAUCUGUAGAUAUCGAGAGGAACACCAGUGGCGAAAGCGCCUCACUGGCCGGAUACUGACGCUGAGGGACGAAAGCUAGGGGAGCAAACAGG